UGAACGCUAGCGGCAGGCCUAACACAUGCAAGUCGAGGGGUAACGAUGUCUUCGGACAGUCGACGACCGGCGCACGGGUGAGUAUCGCGUUUGUAACCUACCUUUAACUGGAGAAUAGCCCGAAGAAAUUCGGAUUAAUACUCCAUAACACUAUGAUCUGGCAUCUUUUUAUAGUUAAAGCUCCGGCGGUUAAAGAUGGGCAUGCGUAACAUUAGUUUGUUGGUGAGGUAAUGGCUCACCAAGACUACGAUGUUUAGGGGGUCUGAGAGGAUGGUCCCCCACACUGGUACUGAGACACGGACCAGACUCCUACGGGAGGCAGCAGUGAGGAAUAUUGGUCAAUGGGCGCAAGCCUGAACCAGCCAUGCCGCGUGAAGGAUGACAGCGCUAUGCGUUGUAAACUUCUUUUGUACAGGAAGAAAUACUUCUACGUGUAGAAGCUUGACGGUACUGUACGAAUAAGCAUCGGCUAACUCC
rnacentral:rRNA from 1 species